GCAAGAUAUCUGUAAGCGAGUAUACGAAGUGCAGCUAUCAUCUUGACAUGGGAUGGAAAACCUUGCUUUCCCAAGGCAACCGGCUUUUGCUUAAAGUAAUCAUCAAAAAAUGCGCGAUAUCAUUCAUAAUUCGUAAAAAUAAUUCACGCCUCAUACGAUUUCUAGUUCGAAAAUCUUCAGGAGGAUAUAAAGGACGAUCUACAAAGUUAUCAUUCAUAAGUUCGUCAUGCGCAACUAUUCGGUCCUUUCUUAUGGAAUUCCGACGUGAUGAUGUUCUUCC
rnacentral:lncRNA from 1 species